AGUAUUUCCAGAUAGAAUUGUUAGCUGAAGUGCAGAAGAAGUGGACCUCAGCUGGCAGCCAAGGUUUCAGAGCUGGAUGCGCUUGGUGGAUGCCUGGCACAUAGUAGGUGGAUAUUUGUUAAAGCAAUGAAGAACCACGUGUGAAUAGAAAAUGAUGUGGCAAUACAGAAUUGUGACUAUCCUACUCAAUGUGAAGAUGAUGAUGAAGACCUUAAUGAUGAUCUAUUUCCUCUCAAUGAAUAGUAAGUAUAUUUUCUCUU